AUUGAACGCUGGCGGCAGGCCUAACACAUGCAAGUCGAACGAGUGGCGGACGGGUGAGUAAUGUCUGGGAAACUGCCUGAUGGAGGGGGAUAACUACUGGAAACGGUAGCUAAUACCGCAUACCAUCGGAUGUGCCCAGAUGGGAUGAGCUAGUAGGUGGGGUAAAGUCGCACCUAGGCGAAGAUCCCUAGCUGGUCUGAGAGGAUGACCAUCCACACUGUAGCUGAGACACGGUCCAGACGCCUACGGGAGGCAGCAGUGGGGAAUAGUGCACAAUGGGCGCAAGCCUGAUGCAGCCAUGCCGCGUGUAUGAAGAAGGCCUUCGGGUGGUAAAGUACUUUCAUCGGGGAGGCGUUACCCGCAGAAGAAGCACCGGCUAACUCCGUGCCAGCCGCCGCGGUAAUAC
rnacentral:rRNA from 1 species